CGAUGCCUCCACCACUUUCCUCCUCGCCGCCGUCUGUCCAACCAUCUCUCUCAGCUUCAUCUCCCUCUUCCCCUUCUUAGAUCGAUGCCUCUUCCUCUCUCGAUCAGGAUUGACUCACGACGCAUCUCCUUCACCUCCUCCCUUUGGGUAAGAAGAGGAGCCCUUCUUCGCAUUUCGAGAAAGGAGAGGUGACGAGUUGGUCUUGCUUUCUAGGGUUUCAGAGUAGUAGCUGCGGAGGGAGGCAAGCUGAAGACGACCAGGGGGAAAGGAACCUCACCGCUACCCUCUUUCCUCUCUUCCUCUCGAUCUUUGCCGCAAAGAUGCUCUUCUUCUCGUACUUCAAGGAGUUGGUAGGUAAAGAAGUGAUGGUGGAGCUGAAAAACGAUCUCGCCAUCAGAGGAACCCUCCACUCCGUCAACCAAUACCUCAACAUCAAACUUGAGAACAUCAAAGUCGUAGACGAAGACAAAUACCCUCACAUGGAUCACUCUCGCCUCCGCUUUACAGCUUCCUUCUCACUCUCGCCAAUCGCCAUGGAGUUUUGGAGCCAUUGUUGCAGAAGUUUUAACAUGUGGAUCGACAUCAUUAGUUCAAAAGUAAUAACUCCUUUCGGAGACAAACAAAAAAAGGGAAGAAAAAACUUCUCAUCCCUUUGUUCUCUUCUCAUUCUUCUUCUUCACUUGUUUACCUUCAAUCCUUUUUUUUCAGUGUGAUCUGUGUGGUUCUACAUGUUUUUACUGUCACUUUACUUCUCAGCAUCUUUUCCUUGGUCGUGAUCGUUUGAGCGAAUCUUUUUUCCAUCAUCGUCGCAAGAGAUCCUAAUGUAUAUGCAAUACAACUUUUUAUUUUCUUUGUAGACGAUUAAUCUAGCGGUAAUUUGCACUCCUGCUGUUUAUCACACCCGCCCACUAGACACCAUCUUCAGUAAUUUCAUUGAUGCUCUCCCAGUUGUGAGUUUUGAGAUUCUAGAAAGAAAAAUUAAAAAAAAAUCUGAUGAUAUAUUUUUAUUUAUUGUUUUAAGUACUAGUAUUUUGCUCUGACAUUAAACCACCACAAAUAAUCAUGUUGGUUAUUUCUCAUCAUGUUUUGUUUUAAGGCUCAAAUUUUUGUUAAUUAAUAUUAUAACUUUAUCAGAUGAGUUUAAUAUCUUGUCGUACAUGAUUAUUCCUACUUAGUAUGCAUGUAGAUUUAUAUGUACAUAUCUAUAUAUGUGAUUUUUCUGUGGUUGAGUCCUCUCUCGACUUUGUCAUUUUGUUUCAUUUGACUUUAUAGUAGUGUGGACUGUGAUAAACAGUCAUCUUUUAAAUCCUAUGAUUGUGUUUAUUUUUCUAACCUUAACAUAUUUUAUAUGAUAAAACAAGAAAGAAAGGAAGAAGGUGUGUGAGGUUGACAUCUUGAAAAAGGAUCUUGAGGCUAUUCGAGAGCAAAUUGAGAAGCUGGAAAGAAUGAAUAUGAGUUGCUGUGUGAAUUUUUCAAUGCCAUGGAGACCUCCAUUCGUUUACUUAGGCUAAAAGGGGCGUCGAUGCCUACCUUUUCCAACGUCUGCAACAUUUGACAGAAAGGCGUUUCACCUACACGCAUUUAGCACAGUUAAAAUACAUUCUACCUGAAGCUAUAAGUCUCAAGAAGAUUCUUGUUCAUGAUGAGCGUACUUACUGCAUGAAGCCAGAGCUUCAAGUUAAUUUGCAAGUUGAUGCUGUCGAAAAGAUCAUCAAGGGAAAAAGUGAAACUGGGUAUACAGUCUUAAGGACUGUUUUCAGAGAAAGGCUUCUUGGUUUCGUCAAUGAACAUCCAGAGGUAAUAGAACCAAGUUUGUCCCUUUCCUUCUGCUAAAUUUAGAUAUAUUUUUUUUUGUUUUCAAUUUUCAAUCAAGUGUUUAAGUUAAUAAAUGAUAAUCAUAGUGUUCAGUUCUUCCUUGAAUUUACAUGGUAUAGCACCCAAUGAUUAUAUUAUCUGUAUUGAGGAUUGUUCUAGAACCAUUUCUGUUUGUAAGUUUUGUACAUCAGGGAGAUGUGGUGCCAGAGGAGGUACAUCUGAUCCUUUGCUUCCUUCUUCCAGUAUUGUUGUUGCUGAGAUGUAGGAAGUGAUUUGUCGUGUUUGAUCCAGCUGUUCUACGAGUCCUUUGACGAGUCGUUUGAGGGCCGGUGGAUCGUUUUCGACAAGGCGGACUACCAAGAUGAGUCUGUGGACAAUGUCCACAGAUCUAGAAAUGAUGAACAAGAAGCAUGAGGGAUUAGGGAAUCUUCAAGCUCUGAUCCAUCAAUGGUUUGGGAUCAGCCGAAAUCUGGCCAUUUCCAACUAAACAAGGAGAUGAUUGAUACUUUGUUUGGCACAAAGACAACAAUGGCCACAAAGGGGAUUGCUGGUGGUCCAUUAGAUCCUUCCUUGGCCCAAGAAAGCAGGAUCCUUGAUCCUAACAAAUCUCAGAACAUUUCAAAUUUGCUAAAGGAUUUUAAUUUAACGAAAGAAAAUGUCUGUGAGGCUAUCUUAGAAGAAGAAUAGGACAUAUUGCUGGCAGAUUGUUCUAAUACAAGUUGCAUAACACAUAGUUUUCUAUCAAAGAAGUUGAGCAAGCAAGUAAAAAUUACUAGCAAAAGGUAAGAGAACUGGAGAAUCAAUUAAAUGGUGAGAGGACAACCAAGAAGGAUGUUGCAAAGUUCCCAAAGCCUCCAGUGGCUCCUUUAAGAUGGAGGUCUCCUUUACAAAGAAUCACCAAUCAGUUGUCACCCUCAGGACAUCAAACAAGCAGAGGUGCCCAUCCAGUAAUAGACAAAGAGAAUUGUCUUUUAACAAAUAAAACUACUAGGGAAGAUUUAGUUAAAUCUUUGCACAAAGCAAGAAGGAUAACGUUGGCACCAGUAAGAAGAAUAUUUGUGUACUA